rnacentral:rRNA from 1 species
GAUGAACGCUGGCGGCGUGCCUAAUACAUGCAAGUCGAGCGAAUUGACAGAGGUGCUUGCACCUCUCGAUUUUAGCGGCGGACGGGUGAGUAACACGUGGGUAACCUACCUAUAAGACUGGGAUAACUUCGGGAAACCGGAGCUAAUACCGGAUAAUAUUUAGCUUCGCAUGAAGCAAUAGUGAAAGACGGUUCUGCUGUCACUUAUAGAUGGACCUGCGGGGUAUUAGCUAGUUGGUGAGGUAACGGCUCACCAAGGCAACGAUACAUAGCCGACCUGAGAGGGUGAUCGGCCACACUGGGACUGAGACACGGCCCAGACUCCUACGGGAGGCAGCAGUAGGGAAUCUUCCGCAAUGGACGAAAGUCUGACGGUGCAACGCCGCGUGAGUGAAGAAGGUUUUCGGAUCGUAAACUCUGUUGUAAGGGAAGAACAAGUACGUUAGUAACUGAACGUACCUUGACGGUACCUUACCAGAAAGCCACGGCUAACUACGUGCCAGCCGCCGCGGUAACAC